rnacentral:rRNA from 1 species
UGCAAGUCGAACGAAGUAGCAAUACUUAGUGGCAGACGGGUGAGUAACAUGUAGGUAUCUACCCUUUGGCCUGGAAUAACACGAGGAAACUUGUGCUAAUACUGGAUAAGUCUUUACGGAGAAAGCUUUAUGCACCAUUGGAUGAGCCUGCACUUGAUUAGUUUGUUGGUGGGGUAAUGGCCUACCAAGACUGUGAUCAAUAGCUGAUUUGAGAGGAUGAUCAGCCACAUUGGGACUGAGACACGGCCCAAACUCCUACGGGAGGCAGCAGUGGGGAAUCUUGCACAAUGGAGGAAACUCUGAUGCGGCGAUGCCGCGUGAGUGAAGAAGGCCCUUGGGUUGUAAAGCUCUUUCGUCGGGGAAGAAAAUGACUGUACCCGAAUAAGAAGGUCCGGCUAACUUCGUGCCAGCAGCCGCGGUAAUACGAAGGGACCUAGCGUAGUUCGGAAUUACUGGGCUUAAAGAGUUCGUAGGUGGUUGAAAAAGUUGGUGGUGAAAUCCCAGAGCUUAACUCUGGAACUGCCAUCAAAACUUUUCAGCUAGAGUAUGAUAGAGGAAAGCAGAAUUUCUAGUGUAGAGGUGAAAUUCGUAGAUAUUAGAAAGAAUACCAAUUGCGAAGGCAGCUUUCUGGAUCAUUACUGACACUGAGGAACGAAAGCAUGGGUAGCGAAGAGGAUUAGAUACCCUCGUAGUCCAUGCCGUAAACGAUGUGUGUUAGACGUUGGAAAUUAAUUUUCAGUGUCGCAGCGAAAGCAAUAAACACACCGCCUGGGGAGUACGACCGCAAGGUUAAAACUCAAAUGAAUUGACGGGGACCCGCACAAGUAGUGGAGCAUGUGGUUUAAUUCGAAGAUACGCGCAGAACCUUACCAACACUUGACAUGUUCGUCGCGACUUUAAGAGAUUAAAGUUUUCGGUUCGGCCGGACGAAACACAGGUGCUGCAUGGCUGUCGUCAGCUCGUGUCGUGA